UACGUAGGUGGCAAGCGUUAUCCGGAAUUAUUGGGCGUAAGCGCGCGCAGGUGGUUUUUUAAGUCUGAUGUGAAAGCCCACGGCUCAACCGUGGAGGGUCAUUGGAAACUGGGAGACUUGAGUGCAGAAGAGGAAAGUGGAAUUCCAUGGUGUAGCGGUGAAAUGCGUAGAGAUAUGGAGGAACACCAGUGGCGAAGGCGCUUUCUGGUCUGUAACUGACACUGAGGCGCGAAAGCGUGGGGAG
rnacentral:rRNA from 1 species